rnacentral:rRNA from 1 species
CCCUUAGACGUUCUGGGCCGCACGCGCGCUACAAUGGUCUUCGCAAACGGAUGCAUUCUCGAAGGAGAAUGCCAAUCUUGGAAUCUAUGCCUUGGUCGGGACAGUUGCUUGCAAUUUUUCGACUCGAACCAGGAAUUCCUUGUAAUCGUGAUUCAUCACAUCACGAUGAAUACGUCCCUGCCCUUUGUACACACCGCCCGUCGCUCCUACCGAUCGAAGAGUUAGGUGAAUUGUUUUGAUCGAUAAGAUUUGACUAUGGUCAACUCUCGUUGUGAAAUUCUGUGAAGCUGACUGUUUAGAGGAAGGAAAAGUCGUAACA